rnacentral:rRNA from 1 species
UACGGGGGGGGCAAGCGUUGUUCGGAAUUACUGGGCGUAAAGGGCGCGUAGGCGGUUUGUUAAGUUGAAUGUGAAAACUCUGGGCUUAACCCAGAGCCUGCAUUCAAUACGGGCAGGCUAGAGUUCGGUAGGGGAGAUCGGAAUUCCUGGUGUAGCGGUGAAAUGCGCAGAUAUCAGGAGGAACACCGGUGGCGAAGGCGGAUCUCUGGGCCGAUACUGACGCUGAGGAGCGAAAGCGUGGGGAGCGAACAGG